GCCCUCUUAGCUCAGGGGAUAGAGCGACUGCCUCCGGAGCAGUAGGCCGAAGGUUCGAAUCCUUUAGAGGGCACCA
rnacentral:tRNA from 1 species